AACAACAUGUAAAGUCUAUUAUCAUGCCUCUAUUGUAUCAACUAUGUCAACAAUCACCUCACCGACCGUCCCUAGCGCAAGUGGCAAAGGACUUGGUGGUUGGUACCCAAGGUCCCAAGUUCGAAUUCUAGUUAAUUCACAUUUCCAGCUAAGUUAUUUCUAAAUGAAAUAAACGAAACGGAUAGCAUGCUACCUAUUUCUCAAAAAAAAAAAAAAAAAAAAUCACCUCUACAUGUAUCAU
rnacentral:lncRNA from 1 species